rnacentral:rRNA from 1 species
CGCCUACGGGAGGCAGCAGUAGGGAAUCUUCCACAAUGGACGAAAGUCUGAUGGAGCAACGCCGCGUGAGUGAAGAAGGGUUUCGGCUCGUAAAGCUCUGUUGGUAGUGAAGAAAGAUGGAGGUAGGAACUGGCCUUUAUUUGACGGUAAUUACUUAGAAAGUCACGGCUAACUACGUGCCAGCAGCCGCGGGAAUAAGUAGGGGGCAAGCGUUGUCCGGAUUUAUUGGGCGUAAAGCGAGUGGAGGCG